UGCACCUGGUCCACCUUUUUCUGGAGUUCCAGCUGCAGUGUCUUCCAGGCUUGUUCUUUUUUGGCCAGCUUCUUUGCAGAUCUGUCCUUCAAAGCUUUGAAUUUUUCCUGCCAGACUGUCUCGCUGUCUAGGAGUUCACCUCCUUUGAGCUGCAGCUGGCUGGUCUCUUUGAUUUUUUGAGAGAGACCCUCUACUUCAUUGUCCCUGCGGUGGAGCUCAUCUUUCACCUGGUCCACCUUUUUCUGGAGUUCCAGCUGCAGUGUCUUCUGGGCUUGUUCUUUUUCGGCCAGGUCCUUUGCAGAUCUGUUCUUCAAAGCAGUCUCGCUGUCUAGGAGUUCACCUCCUUUGAGCUGCAGCUGGCUAGUGGUCUCUUUGAGUUUUUCAGAGAGUGCUGGUUUGCCCUGAUGCAAACUUGGCAGAGGCGCCAGUUUUUCCUGAUGCACAGUUGGUCGAGGUGCCAGUUUGCGCUGAUGCCAACUUGGUAGAGGUGCCGGUCUGCCCUGAUUUGAAGGUGGCCGAGGUGCCAGUUUGCCCUGAUGCACAGUUGGUAGAGGUGCCGGUUUGCCCUGAUGCAAACUUGGCAGAGGUGCCGGUUUGCCCUGAUGCAAACUUGGUAGAGGUGCCAGUUUGCCCUGAUGCACAGGUGGCAGAGGUGCCAGUUUGUCCUGAUGCACAGUUGGCAGAGGUGCCAGUUUGUCCUGAUGCACAGUUGGCAGAGGUGCCAGUUUGUCCUGAUACACAGGUGGCAGAGGUGCCGGUUUGCCCUGAUGCAAACUUGGUAGAGGUGCCAGUUUGCCCUGAUGCACAGGUGGCAGAGGUGCCAGUUUGCCCUGAUGCACAGGUGGCAGAGGUGCCAGUUUGUCCUGAUGCAAACUUGGUAGAGGUGCCAGUUUGCCCUGAUGCACAGGUGGCAGAGGUGCCAGUUUGCCCUGAUGCAAACUUGGCAGAGGUGCCAGUUUGCCCUCAUGCAAACUUGGCAGAGGGCCCGGUUUGCCCUGAUGCAAACUUGGCAGAGGUGCCAGUUCGCCCUCAUGCAAAUUUGGCAGAGGGGCCGGUUUGCCCUGAUGCAAACUUCGCAGAGGUGCCAGUUUAGCCCGAUGCA